rnacentral:rRNA from 1 species
AACUUUUAAAUUGAAGAGUUUGAUCAUGGCUCAGAUUGAACGCUGGCGGCAGGCCUAACACAUGCAAGUCGAACGGUAACAGGAAACAGCUUGCUGUUUCGCUGACGAGUGGCGGACGGGUGAGUAAUGUCUGGGAAACUGCCUGAUGGAGGGGGAUAACUACUGGAAACGGUAGCUAAUACCGCAUAACGUCGCAAGACCAAAGAGGGGGACCUUAGGGCCUCUUGCCAUCGGAUGUGCCCAGAUGGGAUUAGCUAGUAGGUGGGGUAAAGGCUCACCUAGGCGACGAUCCCUAGCUGGUCUGAGAGGAUGACCAGCCACACUGGAACUGAGACACGGUCCAGACUCCUACGGGAGGCAGCAGUGGGGAAUAUUGCACAAUGGGCGCAAGCCUGAUGCAGCCAUGCCGCGUGUAUGAAGAAGGCCUUCGGGUUGUAAAGUACUUUCAGCGGGGAGGAAGGGAGUAAAGUUAAUACCUUUGCUCAUUGACGUUACCCGCAGAAGAAGCACCGGCUAACUCCGUGCCAGCAGCCGCGGUAAUACGGAGGGUGCAAGCGUUAAUCGGAAUUACUGGGCGUAAAGCGCACGCAGGCGGUUUGUUAAGUCAGAUGUGAAAUCCCCGGGCUCAACCUGGGAACUGCAUCUGAUACUGGCAAGCUUGAGUCUCGUAGAGGGGGGUAGAAUUCCAGGUGUAGCGGUGAAAUGCGUAGAGAUCUGGAGGAAUACCGGUGGCGAAGGCGGCCCCCUGGACGAAGACUGACGCUCAGGUGCGAAAGCGUGGGGAGCAAACAGGAUUAGAUACCCUGGUAGUCCACGCCGUAAACGAUGUCGACUUGGAGGUUGUGCCCUUGAGGCGUGGCUUCCGGAGCUAACGCGUUAAGUCGACCGCCUGGGGAGUACGGCCGCAAGGUUAAAACUCAAAUGAAUUGACGGGGGCCCGCACAAGCGGUGGAGCAUGUGGUUUAAUUCGAUGCAACGCGAAGAACCUUACCUGGUCUUGACAUCCACGGAAGUUUUCAGAGAUGAGAAUGUGCCUUCGGGAACCGUGAGACAGGUGCUGCAUGGCUGUCGUCAGCUCGUGUUGUGAAAUGUUGGGUUAAGUCCCGCAACGAGCGCAACCCUUAUCCUUUGUUGCCAGCGGUCCGGCCGGGAACUCAAAGGAGACUGCCAGUGAUAAACUGGAGGAAGGUGGGGAUGACGUCAAGUCAUCAUGGCCCUUACGACCAGGGCUACACACGUGCUACAAUGGCGCAUACAAAGAGAAGCGACCUCGCGAGAGCAAGCGGACCUCAUAAAGUGCGUCGUAGUCCGGAUUGGAGUCUGCAACUCGACUCCAUGAAGUCGGAAUCGCUAGUAAUCGUGGAUCAGAAUGCCACGGUGAAUACGUUCCCGGGCCUUGUACACACCGCCCGUCACACCAUGGGAGUGGGUUGCAAAAGAAGUAGGUAGCUUAACCUUCGGGAGGGCGCUUACCACUUUGUGAUUCAUGACUGGGGUGAAGUCGUAACAAGGUAACCGUAGGGGAACCUGCGGUUGGAUCACCUCCUUACCUUAAA